GCCCAUUUCAAAAAGCACUCAAACCCUAUCUAUAAAACCCAACACAUGAAUAAUAAGUCAUAUCCUCAUCUGUUGAGGUAACACCUACAGCAAAGAAACAUGGUGACAAGAGCCACUUUAGCAAGGUUUCUGGUGUGGUUCCUAGUGGUGGCUUCAACGGCUGCAUCGACCUAUGCGACUUCAGGUCCCAAAGUACUUCAUCCUGCUGCUGAUACCAGCAUUCAUCCCCAAGCUGGUUGUCGCUGCUGCAACUUCGUUUACCAGAAACCAUUCAUACAGUGCGGGAGAGUCUGUUGUGUAGAUGGAUGCUGCUGACUAGAGCUUCAACACGAUAUCAAUCGCUAAUAAAAUAUUGUAAUCUUUCGCCUGUACACAGGACGGAAACUUGUUUUGGAAGAUUAAAAUAAACGCGAAGGAAGUGUUACUGGUUGUUCA